UUUUUCACUUGUUGGCAUGCUAGGAGUUUCUCAACAAGUGAAGCUAUAUCUUUCUUCAUACCUUCCCACUAGAAUUUGUCUAUUCAAGUCUUGGUAUAUUUUGUGCUUCCCUGGUGGCUAGUAUAUGAUGUGUCAUGAGCCUCGCUCAUUAUCUCAUCUUUGAGUUUCUCAUAGUGUGGGAUACACAAUCUUUCUUCAAUCAUUAACGCAGCAUCCGACGUCUAGUGGUAACGUCCAGGCUUGCCUAUUCCUAUUGAUAAUGUAUUCUCUCCAAGGUCUCAUUCUCUUCUUUUUUUUUUUUUUUUUUUUUCGCAUUAUCAGCUUUCCUAUAAAGUUGGGUGUUAUUACCAUCGUGGCAAUAAUCCUUUCUACAGAUUCUAGUGGUUGAACCACUUCUAAAUUCAUUCUACUAAAAUCUUUCAUGGGUUCCUCUUCCUAAGUAAGGGGAGAUCCCAACUUAAGUUGAGUCUUACGACUCAAGGAGUCGUCUACCUUGUUAGCUUUGCCUGGGUGGUAGUUAAUACUACAGUCGCGGUCCUGCGCUAGUUCGAGCCAUCUUUACUGUCUCAUGUUAAGAUCUUCUUGCUCGAAAAAGUAUUUCAAACUUUUAUGGUCUUUACUGCAGUUAAUUCUAGUUUAUGAGUUGGCUAGUUCAAUUCAUGUGGUUAAUGCUAUCGUGAUGCGUAUGUUGUCACUCUUCCUUCUUGCGUUAACAU
rnacentral:lncRNA from 1 species